rnacentral:rRNA from 1 species
AGUGAACGCUGGCGGUAGGCCUAACACAUGCAAGUCGAACGGCAGCACAGGAGAGCUUGCUCUCUGGGUGGCGAGUGGCGGACGGGUGAGGAAUACAUCGGAAUCUACUCUGUCGUGGGGGAUAACGUAGGGAAACUUACGCUAAUACCGCAUACGACCUACGGGUGAAAGCAGGGGAUCUUCGGACCUUGCGCGAUUGAAUGAGCCGAUGUCGGAUUAGCUAGUUGGCGGGGUAAAGGCCCACCAAGGCGACGAUCCGUAGCUGGUCUGAGAGGAGGGUCAGCCACACUGGAACUGGGACGCGGUCCAGACUCCGACGGGAGGCAGCAGUGGGGAAUAUUGGGCAAGGGGCGCAAGCCUGAUCCAGCCAUACCGCGUGGGUGAAGAAGGCCUUCGGGUUGUAAAGCCCUUUUGUUGGGAAAGAAAUCCAGCUGGCUAAUACCCGGUUGGGAUGACGGUACCCAAAGAAUAAGCACCGGCUAACUUCGUGCCAGCAGCCGCCGUAA